rnacentral:lncRNA from 1 species
GUUCAAAUCAUGUUCAAAUAACUUAAGAAUCUUUGAGACAAGGGCUUACAAUGUAGCAGAGGCUGGGCUCAAACUUGGAACCCUCUUGAGUCACCCUCCCAAGCACUGGGACUAAGGUAUGUGCACAGUUCCCUACUCAAAAUAGUGCUUUUUUUUUUUUUUUUUUUUUUUGACACAGAGUCACUAUGUAGUCCAGGCUAGCCUCAAACUCUUGAUCCUCCUGCCCCAGCCUCCAGAGUACUGGAAUUAUAGGCCUGUACUGUAUACCAUAUACUUUCUUAUUUCUUUCAUAUUACACUUCUAGUUAAUGCAUGCAUAUAUGUGUGUGUGGGUGUGUAUGUGUGUGGGGUGUGUGUGUGUAUGUAUAUAUACACACACAUACAUAUAAAAUAAGCCUCAAUCAGCACUGGAGCUAAGCAGAUAUCUACCCUCUAUGCUAUUAUGGCUACUUCCCCUGGGGGACACAGUUACUUAGAAUCUCCUGGUCUCUAGGGGCAACCAGGGCGCCAGUACUUAGCAUUAGGACUCAUAGCAACAAACUGAAACACCAACCAACAAUCUGGAACAUGCCCGCAGACGCGCCCACAGGCCAGUGGAUAGAAGCCAUUCCACAGUUGAAGUUCCCUCUUUCCAGAGUACUCUAGUUUGUGACAACACAGCCUGUGCCAACGGCCCUGUA